rnacentral:rRNA from 2 species
GUGCGAGACCGAUAGCGAACAAGUACCGUGAGGGAAAGAUGAAAAGAACUUUGAAAAGAGAGUUAAAGAGUACCUGAAACCGCUGAAAGGGAACCGAAUCGUUUCCAGUGUCUAUAAUCUGCGGCAUAUUUCAUUGGCGGCGGUGCGCGUGCUUUUGCGUCGGAAGCGGCUUUUGUUGCUCUGUGCUUUUGCUGUGCGUGGUGUUGCUGGUGCCCUGUGUUGCGGUGGGACGUCAGAGUCAGUUUGUAUGCUGCGGGAAAUGGCUGCCGAGGAGGUAGGUCGAGAUUUCGGUCUUGGCUGUUAUAUCUUGGUGGUUUGUUGUCGUGGUUGAGACUGAGGUGCCUACAAUGUGCUUUUGAGUGUACCGGGUUCUCAUUUGGUGGACUGUUUGGAUAGCUUGCUAUGCUUGUGGUUUUUUCAUCGGGUGAUUGAGUCUGGUGGUAACUUGUUGCUGUUCGGGACUUUGA